CGCAAUCUUCCUGGUGCUCAUAUACCCAGUCUUCUGUUCAAACACGGAGACCACUGAGUCACUUCAAAUGAAAGAUUAGAAUGUGAGGGAUGAUGGUGUAUGAGUCUGUUGCAAUCUGGGCUGCCCCAGCAAAAAACAACUUCACAGGAUACAGGAGUGCGAGAUUCUGAACUGCUUGAAGACUAACAGAAUAAGAAAAAACAAAACCAAGCAAACAAAACAAAUAAAAAAGAAAUUCUCAGGUUUUCCCAAAUACUGUGAAUCAUGACAUCUACUGGGACUUAAAGUCACUACACUAAAAUAACCAACGUGAUUUUCAUGGUGUUAUUUCCUAUUUGAAGUUACAUCAAGUGAUUCUGCCUCUUCACUGUGAAACAGACUGCAAAUACUCAGGCAGCCUGCCUCCUGUCAUUUUAUCAGUUUGAGGUGUUUGAAGUAAUUCCUCUUGGUAAUGGGGCAAGUUCCUGGAGAGCGGACUGCUAAAUGGAGGGAGAAGCUGCAGACAAGGAGUGAAUCACAAAUCAUGUGCACAGAUGACUUCUUGUGAAACCUCUUCCCACCUUAACUUGUAAAAUAAAGGCUAGAGCUUGGGCAGUAGAAGGGAAGGUAGAGCUGAAAAGUUUGGGGGAUAAGGAGGAGUGGGGAGAGAAAGA